UAUUUUUUGCAUUCCCUGUCCACAAAAAACUCCCUACUGAUUCUACCAAUUAGCUCCUCCACUUUAGUAGGAAUUGGGAGUAAAGACAUAAGUAUGCCGGGAUCCCAUCCAGGACGCUAUUCACCAAAGUCAACCUUCCUAGGAAAAUAUUGUUGUUUCAGGGUGCAGGCUUUCUCUCUUAUUUAUCAGUGACUCCUUUCCGUACACUGUUAUCUUUUGGUUUUGCACCCAAUAGUAGCCCCAAGUA
rnacentral:lncRNA from 1 species